rnacentral:tRNA from 1 species
GGGCCCGUACCCCAGCGGCUAGAGGGAAUUCGUUUAGGGCGAAUCUGUCGUGAGUUCGAAUCUCACCGGGCCUA